UGGGAAACGUGAAUGUGCUUUGUUCGGGGACUAUGUUGAUUAGCUAAAUAACAAAAUGAGAAAGACUGGUGAAGGAUUCCCUGUUGACUGUUGUGGUGAUCCAAUUUGCUAAAGUUGAGAUUUUUAGAGAUCAAGCUUCUAUUCAAAAUGUCGUCAACACUACUAAGAUAUUAAUAAAUCCUGAUAUCCCUGAGGCUAUUGAAUUUAGGAAUAGCAUUGCUGUCCAUGGCAUUGAGGUGGAAACAAAAGUACCUGUUAUCGGUGGAAGUGCUAAACCUUCAAUGGAUGAAGAUUUUCUGCGUAUGUAUCCCAGAAAGAAAGUGUCCGAGCUUGCUGAUAUGGAAGAAGAUGGUAUCUUCGCUGUCUAUGGGGUUGUUACCUCAAUUGUCGAAGGGGAGGAUUGGUGGUAUCCCGCGUGUAAGUGCCAUAGAUCUGUCGUUCCUGAUUCUGGGCCAUACUUUUGCAAUGGAUGCUCCAAACACGUGUUUCACAUUGUGCCAAGGUUCAAAACGAAGGUCGAAGUCUCUGAUGGUGAUGCUGCUUCUGUGUUUGUUAUAUUUGAUUCAAACAUGAGUUAUAUCAUGGAGAAAUUGUGUGCUGAUUUUGUUGGAAAAGCAAAGGAAUAUUUCAUUGUUAUAAGUCUUCCUAUGCCUAAUGAUUUAUAGUUGUGAUGUUGAAAUCUUCUCCUGCGCAGGUAUGCAAUGAUAAGUCACACCCUGCUGAAUUUCAGGGACUGGUUGGUAAGAUGUUAUUUAUCAUUGAGAAGGGAAUGAAGCAUAUGAAAAUCUUUGACGGGGCCUUUAGGGUUAAAUGUGUGUGCUCCGAUUCUAAAAUUAUUGAGACUUUUUGUGUUAAAGGCCCAUGUUUUACUCCCAUUAAGACUAUGUCGGAAGUUAUUGAUGUUGACACCGACAAUAGUGAUGAUGAAUUCGUGGAAGAUUCUCAACCUCUUGCAUUUGAUGGAGUUAUCAUUGCAUAAGUACGUGUUGUUUGGAAUUUACUUAUAUUAACGUUAAGAGGAACUUGUCGGACGCGUUUGAUGGAGUUGCCAAGC